rnacentral:rRNA from 1 species
CACCAGACUCCUACGGGAGGCAGCAGUGAGGAAUAUUGGUCAAUGGGCGGGAGCCUGAACCAGCCAAGCCGCGUGAAGGAAGAAGGCGCCAGGCGUCGUAAACUUCUUUUGUCGGAGAACAAAGGGCGCCACGUGUGGCGUUGUGAGUGUACCCGAAGAAAAAGCAUCGGCUAACUCCGUGCCAGCAGCCGCGGUAAUACGGAGGAUGCGAGCGUUAUCCGGAUUUAUUGGGUUUAAAGGGUGCGUAGGCGGCCCGAAAGUACAGGGGAAAAGGCCGGGGGCACACCCCCGGCGAGCCGUUGAAACUGUCGGACUAGAGACGGCGAGAAGUACGCGGAAUGCGCGGUGUAGCGGUGAAAUGCAUAGAUAUCGCGCAGAACUCCGAUUGCGAAGGCAGCGUACCGGCGCCGGACUGACGCUGAGGCACGAAAGCGUGGGUAUCGAACAGGAUUAGAUACCCGGGUA